AUGCACGUUAAAUAAAUACCCAAGUCACUCCACAGAAAUGUUCCCUCCUUCCUGGACUCUGAGCCCAUAGGAAGCAGCAACUGGAGAGACGGUUUAUUUCCUCCUGGGCCCGACGGCUGAGGGAACAGAGUGCGGCACAGGCACUAAGGUGUGUGGCCCUGCCAAGGCCUGGAGUUUCUUUGGCUGCCUGGGAGGAUCGCGGUCCCAGGUGGCUCCGUAGUGAGCUGUCAUGGGGCAGGUCUGUGGUUCCCGGUCAGGAAUACAUAGUCAGCU